rnacentral:tRNA from 1 species
GGGCGUGUAGUGUGGAGGUAUCACGUCUGCUUCGCACGCAGAAGGCCUCGAGUUCAAUUCUCGGUACGUCCA